AUGCCCGUGUCCUGGGCACUGAUGAAAGGCAGCCUGCUGCUGUCGGCUGUUCACGGAGGGGAAGCGCACCCUCCUGAGCUGGUCCAGCUUCUCUGCAGCCCCGUCUGCUCAGGGUCUUCCGCUUUCUUUCUAGCUCCCCCUUCUUUUCCUCCACCUGUUCUUCCAGGCAGCACAGCUGCCUCUCUUUCGCAGAGGUGGAACAAGUCCCGGAUUUGCAGGCCCCGGGAGCUGACGGGAUGGCCCGGGCGGACCUGGGGCUUGUGGGUAGGGAUGACGUCACACUCUGCCUUUCGGUUUCCAGUUUCCACGGCUGGCUGCAGGGUGACAUCUGGGAGAGCAGGGGGUGACCUUUGGCAGAUGACUCUAGGGGAGGAUUUCCCUUCCAGAGUGAGGACAAAGUACACGUUUGCAUCACUACCCUCUCUGAAACCCACCAGAAUGAACAAAGUCCAAGAGAAUGACCACAUCUCAAAUCACAGCUUCAAAAAAAUAUUCAUUCAUUCGGCCAGUCAUACUUCAUCCAUUCAACAAAUAUUUACUGAGUACCUCUGAGAUGCCAGCACUGUUCCAGCUGCCAGGAGCUCUAGCUGCCAGAUAUAAAGAAAUCUAAGUCCAAGGGAAGGUAAGCACCAAGGUCUGACAUCUUUUUCCUCUAAUUCAGAGCAGGUAGAGACUCUGAAAAGUAAGAGUGUUCAUACAUGCU
rnacentral:lncRNA from 1 species